rnacentral:lncRNA from 1 species
UAGGUCCAGUUCCAGUGAUCAGAUUUUCAACACCUGGCCUGGCCCGUCCCGUUUCCUUUUUAAGCAGGUCCGGUCCAGUCCUUCUAAAUUUUAGCCCUGCUCGGCCCGUGCCCACCCCUACCCAAACCUGAGGGGGUAAAAUGUAAUUUACUCUAUUAUUAUUUACUUGUUAUGGCCUAUAAUUAACUGAGGGAAACAUGUGGUGCGGCAUGGAGAUAUGGAGAAAAUGACUUCAGUUCUUGUGCCUUUAUUUAUAGUAAAUCAAGGAGGAUUUUUUUGCUUUGCAAGUAAUUGUAGACAUGUAAAUUUUGUUGCAUGCAAAUGAUGCAUCACAAAGCUCCACGUGGCAUAUGACUUAUCACAAAUGGACAAAUCA